CCUACGGGUGGCAGCAGUGGGGAAUAUUGGACAAUGGGCGAAAGCCUGAUCCAGCCAUGCCGCGUGUGUGAAGAAGGCCUUCGGGUUGUAAAGCACUUUCAGUGGGGAAGAAAGCCUUGGGGCUAAUACCCUCGAGGAAGGACAUCACCCACAGAAGAAGCACCGGCUAACUCCGUGCCAGCAGCCGCGGUAAUACGGAGGGUGCGAGCGUUAAUCGGAAUUACUGGGCGUAAAGCGCGCGUAGGCGGUCUGAUAAGCCGGUUGUGAAAGCCCCGGGCUCAACCUGGGAACGGCAUCCGGACCUGUCAGGCUAGAGUGCAGGAGAGGAAGGUAGAAUUCCCGGUGUAGCGGUGAAAUGCGUAGAGAUCGGGAGGAAUACCAGUGGCGAAGGCGGCCUUCUGGACUGACACUGACGCUGAGGUGCGAAAGCGUGGGUAGCAAACAGGAUUAGAUACCCCAGCAGUC
rnacentral:rRNA from 1 species